AAGAAUCAAUAUCAAUCCUCCAAUAAUCAAAGCAAAAAUAAAAAGAGGUUGCAUAUAGGUGCAAAUAUCUCAGCCCCUUUUCUUGGUUUCUUUCUGAAGAUCAGUUCUUGAAAUCAACAUCAAAUUUUCAAUAAGCCAAAGCAACAAAAAAAGCUGCUUAUAAGUUAUCCCUUUUCUUGGAUUCUCGAGCGCAGUUUCUUGAAAUCAAACAUGAUGUCAAUUUUCAGUUCCUUUGAUGCACUUUGUGCAGAGUCUUUUGGCCAGAAAGUUGCUCUUUCUUGGGCUCCCUCGUCCAACAAGGAAGUGCAAAAUCGAGGGGUUUCCAAGAAAAUUGAUGAGGUGAAGAAGGGCAAAGAUGUAAAUGCUUCGUCCCAGCCACCGUCUCAGGCUAAGAAAUCAGAAGAUCACCGGCCGAGAUUCGCGCCGGAGUUUGAUGGUCUGCACUGUUUUGAGAGCAUUAUUCCUUAUUGAUCAUAACAAUUGAGUAUUGGAAUAUUUGUGAUUUUUAUUUUUUUGUAGUUCAUGGCGUGAAGUCCAAUUCUUGGUAUAUAACUAAAUUGCAAGCGUUCCUCUGGAUUGACUACUUAUUUUAUUGUAUUGUAUUUUAUUUGCAUAUUUUUUACAAGAGAAGAUAAAUAUCUCAAUCUUUUGACCUUGUUCUCUAUUAGGAUAACGUGGACGAAAGAGGUCCAUUCGCGUCCACGUAAGCAAACUUU
rnacentral:lncRNA from 1 species